GGUGAACGCUGGCGGCGUGCCUAAUACAUGCAAGUCGAGCGAACGGACGAUAAGCUUGCUUCUCUGAUGUUAGCGGCGGACGGGUGAGUAACACGUGGAUAACCUACCUAUAAGACUGGGAUAACUUCGGGAAACCGGAGCUAAUACCGGAUGAUAUUUUGAACCGCAUGGUUCAAAAGUGAAAGACGGUCUUGCUGUCACUUAUAGAUGGAUCCGCGCUGCAUUAGCUAGUUGGUAAGGUAACGGCUUACCAAGGCAACGAUGCAUAGCCGACCUGAGAGGGUGGUCGGCCACACUGGAACUGAGACACGGUCCAGACUCCUACGGGAGGCAGCAGUAGGGAAUCUUCCGCAAUGGGCGAAAGCCUGACGGAGCAACGCCGCGUGAGUGAUGAAGGUCUUCGGAUCGUAAAACUCUGUUAUUAGGGAAGAACAUAUGUGUAAGUAACUGUGCACAUCUUGACGGUACCUAAUCAGAAAGCCACGGCUAACUACGUG
rnacentral:rRNA from 1 species